ACUAAAGCAGAGUUCAAUAUACUUUGAGCUUGGUAUCCCUCCUCGAGUACAUAUAUCCUGCCAUGUCCUCAACUUUUUGUGAAUCUAUUUCGUAGUUUUGAUUUCCAUUUGACUGCUCAUUUUUUUUUAUGUUGAUUGCACAUUUGGCAAAAACUGAAAUCCUUAAUAUAGUGAGAUAGAUUUUUUAAUGGAUUUUUCUUUUUAAAUCUGUUUGCAUAGGUUACCUUAACUUUCAAAAUGCAAUCGUUCAUCUUUCAGGUGACGAUUCGUGAGCGGGUUACCUUAACAUUUAUAAGUUGUGUUACAGUAUCAUGUUAUAUCAUGACGAUUCAAUCGUGUUCUUUGUUUCAGGGAGCUCAAUCUGAGAAAGGUGUUUCUUCGAUAUUAUCAACUUGACUUGUCUAAGCUCAUCUUCCGAAGCAUCAAAUAAUGCACGUCAAGUGCUUGAUAGCAUUCUACAAAUAAUGCACGUUAAGUGCUUGAUAACAUUCUACUUGUCGUGUUGGUUGUAAAAGGUGAGGAUAAAUGAGAAGCUAAACCAGUUGCGAGAGAUAUGAAGAUGUGUAAGUCUGAAUGAGCAAGAAACCGACGCACUUUCCAGAGUAGGUAGUUGCAAGUUCUGACUUCCGAGUAGGGGAGCUUAAUUCAUCUUUUGCUCACUUUUGAUGAAUUUUGAUGCUGUUUUGUGUCCAUUAGCUUAGUCUGCAUGAUUGUUGGGAAGCAUCGUUACUUCUCGCGUGCUUAAACAUAAGUCGUAACAGAAUUUGAAGCUUUACUGCACCUAAGCCUUUGAACAUAAGUCAUGAUAGAGUUUGAUGCUUUACCGCAACCGAGCCUUUGAGACUGUUAUAAUGCCUCUAAGAACUCAAGAUUUUGAUCAUUCUUUUUUGUAAU